rnacentral:rRNA from 1 species
GAUAGGCUGGAGGUGUAAGCAUAGUAAUAUGUUCAGCUGACCAGUACUAAUUGGCCGUGUGGCUUGACCCU